rnacentral:misc_RNA from 1 species
GAAAUGCGAUAAGUAGUGUGAAUUGCAGAAUUCAGUGAAUCAUCGAAUCUUUGAACGCACAUUGCGCCCUUUGGUAUUCCAAAGGGCAUGCCUGUUCGAGCGUCAUUUGUACCCUCAAGCUUUGCUUGGUGUUGGGCGUCUUGUCUCUAGCUUUGCUGGAGACUCGCCUUAAAGUAAUUGGCAGCCGGCCUACUGGUUUCGGAGCGCAGCACAAGUCGCACUCUCUAUCAGCAAAGGUCUAGCAUCCAUUAAGCCUUUUUUCAACUUUUGACCUCGGAUCAGGUAUGGAUACCCGCUGAACUUAAGC